UUUUAUUUGAGAGUUUGAUCCUGGCUCAGGAUGAACGCUGGCGGCGUGCCUAACACAUGCAAGUUGAGCGAUUUACUUCGGUAAAGAGCGGCGGACGGGUGAGUAACGCGUGGGUAACCUACCCUGUACACACGGAUAACAUACCGAAAGGUAUGCUAAUACGGGAUAAUAUAUUUGAGAGGCAUCUCUUGAAUAUCAAAGGUGAGCCAGUACAGGAUGGACCCGCGUCUGAUUAGCUAGUUGGUAAGGUAACGGCUUACCAAGGCGACGAUCAGUAGCCGACCUGAGAGGGUGAUCGGCCACAUUGGAACUGAGACACGGUCCAAACUCCUACGGGAGGCAGCAGUGGGGAAUAUUGCACAAUGGGCGAAAGCCUGAUGCAGCAACGCCGCGUGAGUGAUGAAGGCCUUCGGGUCGUAAAACUCUGUCCUCAAGGAAGAUAAUGACGGUACUUGAGGAGGAAGCCCCGGCUAACUACGUGCCAGCAGCCGCGGUAAUACGUAGGGGGCUAGCGUUAUCCGGAUUUACUGGGCGUAAAGGGUGCGUAGGCGGUCUUUCAAGUCAGGAGUGAAAGGCUACGGCUCAACCGUAGUAAGCUCUUGAAACUGGGAGACUUGAGUGCAGGAGAGGAGAGUGGAAUUCCUAGUGUAGCGGUGAAAUGCGUAGAUAUUAGGAGGAACAUCAGUUGCGAAGGCGGCUCUCUGGACUGUAACUGACGCUGAGGCACGAAAGCGUGGGGAGCAAACAGGAUUAGAUACCCUG
rnacentral:rRNA from 1 species